rnacentral:rRNA from 1 species
AGCAGCCGCGGUAAUUCCAGCUCCAAUAGCGUAUAUUAAAGUUGCUGCAGUUAAAAAGCUCGUAGUUGAAUUUCGGGACCAUCAUGUCGGUCGUGCCUCGGUACGUACUGGCAUUGUUGGUUUCUCCCUUCUGAAGAACCUUGAUGUCAUUAAUUUGGUGUCUUGGGGAAUCAGGACUGUUACUUUGAAAAAUUAGAGUGUUUAAAGCAGGCUCGCGCUUGAAUACAUUAGCAUGGAAUAAUGAAAUAGGACGUUUGAUUCUAUUUUGUUGGUUUCUAGGAUCGACGUAAUGAUUAAUAGGGAUAGUUGGGGGCAUUAGUAUUCAAUUGUCAGAGGUGAAAUUCUUGGAUUUAUUGAAGACUAACUACUGCGAAAGCAUUUGCCAAGGAUGUUUUCAUUAAUCAAGAACGAAAGUUAGGGGAUCGAAGACGAUCAGAUACCGUCGUAGUCUUAACCAUAAACUAAUGCCGACUAGGGAUCGGAUGAUGUUAAUUUUAAU